AUAGCGUAUAUUAAAGUUGUUGCAGUUAAAAAGCUCGUAGUUGAAUUUCAGCUCUGGCUGGGCGGUCCACCUUUGGAUGGUACUGCUCUGGCUGGGGUUUACCUUUCUGGUGAGCCGCGAUGCCCUUCACUGGGUGUCGCGGGGAACCAGGACUUUUACCUUGAAAAAAUUAGAGUGUUUAAAGCAGGCCAAUUGCUUGAAUACAUUAGCAUGGAAUAAUGGAAUAGGACCUCGGUUCUAUUUUGUUGGUUUCUAGGACCGAAGUAAUGAUUAAUAGGGAUAGUUGGGGGCAUUAGUAUUUAGUAGCUAGAGGUGAAAUUCUUGGAUUUA
rnacentral:rRNA from 1 species